GUUGAUUUCUCCCAUCUCCCUUCCUUGGAGAUGUGGGAAGAGAGGGCCGAUGGUCCUUCUGGAUGGGAAGCACAGCCGGUCCACACUGGUGUCCUUCUCAGUGCCCAGCGGUGGAACUCAGGGAAGCUGGCUGUCCAACACUCACCAGCACGCCGUGGCCUGAAAGCUGCAUUCAGUGUGUGGACUUCAUCCUGGGUGAAGGGGAUAUGGCUUUCGCUAGGAUUGAAAGCACAGGCUGGGUGCAGUGGCUCACGCCUGUAAUCCUAGCACUUUGGGAGGCCAAGGCGGGCUGAUCACCUGAGGCCAGGAGUUUGAGACCAGUCUGGCCAAGAUGGUGAAACCCCGUCUCUACUAAAAAUACAAAAAAUUGCAGCCAUAAAAAAUGAUGAGUUCAUGUCCUUUGUAGGGACAUGGAUGAAAUUGGAAAUCAUCAUUCUCAGUAAACUAUUGCAAGGCCAAAAAAACCAAAUACCGCAUGUUCUCACUCAUAGAUAGGAAUUGAACAAUGAGAACACAUGGACACAGGAAG
rnacentral:lncRNA from 10 species